GAUGAACGCUGGCGGCGUGCCUAAUACAUGCAAGUCGAGCGAACGGACGAGAAGCUUGCUUCUCUGAUGUUAGCGGCGGACGGGUGAGUAACACGUGGAUAACCUACCUAUAAGACUGGGAUAACUUCGGGAAACCGGAGCUAAUACCGGAUAAUAUUUUGAACCGCAUGGUUCAAAAGUGAAAGACGGUCUUGCUGUCACUUAUAGAUGGAUCCGCGCUGCAUUAGCUAGUUGGUAAGGUAACGGCUUACCAAGGCAACGAUGCAUAGCCGACCUGAGAGGGUGAUCGGCCACACUGGAACUGAGACACGGUCCAGACUCCGACGGGAGGCAGCAGUAGGGAUCUUCCGCAAUGGGCGAAAGCCUGACGGAGCAACGCCGCGUGAGUGAUGAAGGUCUUCGGAUCGUAAAACUCUGUUAUUAGGGAAGAACAUAUGUGUAAGUAACUGUGCACAUCUUGACGGUACCUAAUCAGAAAGCCACGGCUAACUACGUG
rnacentral:rRNA from 1 species